rnacentral:rRNA from 1 species
GCUCGUCUCAAAGAUUAAGCCAUGCAUGUGUAAGUAUAAAUAAUUUUACUUUGAAACUGCGAAUGGCUCAUUAUAUCAGUUAUAGUUUAUUAGAAAUAUUUUACUACUUGGAUAACCGUAGUAAUUCUAGGGCUAAUACAUGAGUAAAACCUCAACUUCGGAAGAGGUGUGUUUAUUAGUAUGAAAACCAUAUAUCUUCGGAUAUAAUAGUGAGUAAUAAUAACCUUUCAUAUCGUAUGUCGUAAGAUAACGAUAGUUCUUUCAAGUUUCUGCCCUAUCAGCUUUCGAUGGUAGUAUAUGGGACUACCAUGGCAGUAACGGGUAACGAAGAAUUUGGGUUCGAUUUCGGAGAGGGAGCCUGAGAGAUGGCUACCACAUCCAAGGAAGGCAGCAGGCGCGUAAAUUACCCAAUCCUGACAUAGGGAGGUAGUGACAAUAAAUCACAAUGCGGAAUUUUUA